ACAAGUUCGAUGGUGCCUUAGGAGAGAAAAGAACAAUACUUAGUAGAUACCAAUACUCUCUGGAAAGAAAUGGUCAAGAACUUGGAAACUGAUGAAGCAAAACAAAGGAGUAAGACAUAUUAGAUUGCUCGUAUAUCACAUCCAUGUGCCAAGGCCAAAGUCCUAUCAGCAAAUCCAAGAUAAAAUGGAAGAGUAGAUGGGAAGACUAGUGAGUCUUGGUGAGAUUUUCAUCAAGACACACACAAAGCUAGAUGGUACAUAUGUCGAUUGAAAGGCGGAGAAAAUCAGUCAAACUUAUGAGAAGACCUUGUAAGAGAAGCUAACUGAGCUCGAGGGAAGAGACUUCAUCUCUUUCAGACGCGGGUACUAGACCUCGAGAGCUCACUGCCGAGGACUGUACUGCCAUAUUUCUUCAGGUCUUGUUGGUACCGGGCUUCAGCAGGCCAUGGGCCCGACGAUUCGGCCCGUAAGCUUGGUAGAAGGCAUGUGGUAGCUGGGCCUCGCUUGAACGUCGAGCUGUUGAGAAGAAGGAGGAACGGAUUUGCGUUGCCUGUUGAAGAAAUCACGGAGGAGAGAAGAUUCUGGGCAACGACGACGGCGCCUUAGGAGGAACAACGUCGAGUAUAUAAAGGGUUGAAGCGUUGUUGUAUAGGGGGAGAUCUAAAAGAGAGAACAAGAGUAUUCAUUGUAAUCACAAUAUAUAAAAUUCAGUUCGUUAUUCAA